rnacentral:rRNA from 1 species
GAUCCUGGCUCAGGAUGAACGCUAGCGACAGGCUAACACAUGCAAGUCGAGGGCAGCAUAAAAGUAGCAAUACGUUGGUGGCGACCGGCGCACGGGUGAGUAACGCGUAUGCAACCUACCUAUCAGAGGGGAAUAACCCGGCGAAAGUCGGACUAAUACCGCAUAAAACAGGGGCACCGCAUGGUGAUAUUUGUUAAAGAAAUUCGCUGAUAGAUGGGCAUGCGUUCCAUUAGGUAGUUGGUGAGGUAACGGCUCACCAAGCCGACGAUGGAUAGGGGAACUGAGAGGUUGGUCCCCCACACUGGUACUGAGACACGGACCAGACUCCUACGGGAGGCAGCAGUGAGGAAUAUUGGUCAAUGGGCGGGAGCCUGAACCAGCCAAGUCGCGUGAAGGAAAGAAGGAUCUAUGGUUCGUAAACUUCUUUUGCAGGGGAAUAAAGUGCAGGACGUGUCCUGUUUUGUAUGUACCCUGAGAAUAAGGAUCGGCUAACUCCGUGCCAGCAGCAGC